UACGUAGGGACCGAGCGUUGUCCGGAUUCAUUGGGCGUAAAGAGCGUGUAGGCGGCCAGACAGGUCCGUUGUGAAAACUGGAGGCUCAACCUCCAGACGUCGAUGGAAACCGUCUGGCUAGAGUCCGGAAGAGGAGAGUGGAAUUCCUGGUGUAGCGGUGAAAUGCGCAGAUAUCAGGAAGAACACCCGUGGCGAAAGCGGCUCUCUGGGACGGUACUGACGCUGAGACGCGAAAGCGUGGGGAGCGAACAGG
rnacentral:rRNA from 1 species